rnacentral:rRNA from 1 species
AUUGAACGCUGGCGGCAUGCCUAACACAUGCAAGUCGAGCGGCUGAACGGAGCUUUCUCCUGGAUUCAGCGUCGGACGCGGGUGUGAUGUAUAUGAGUAUACCUCGUGUUGUGGGAGAAAGUCCGGCGAAGGGCGCUAAUAUCGCAUACGUGCUGUACGGGUGAAAGCGGGAGCCUCUGACCUCACGCUCUCUGAUGAUCCUAGGUCGGAUUAGCUAGUUGGUGGGGUAAAGGCCUACCAAGGCGACGAUCCGUAGCUGGUCUGAGAGGAUGAUCAGUCACACUGGAACUGAGACACGGUCCAGACUCCUACGGGAGGCAGCAGUGGGGAAUAUUGGACAAUGGGCGAAAGCCUGAUCCAGCCAUGCCGCGUGUGUGAAGAAGGUCUUCGGAUUGUAAAGCACUUUAAGUCGGGAGGAAGGGCAGUAAGCUAAUACCUUGCUGUUUUGACGUUACCAAAAGAAUAAGCACCGGCUAACUUCGUG